AAGGGGAAAGAUUUAUCGGAGGAGGAUCGGCCCGCGUUGGAUUAGGUAGUUGGUGAGGUAACGGCUCACCAAGCCGACGAUCCAUAGCUGGUUGAGAGGAUGAUCAGCCACACUGGGACUGAGACACGGCCCAGACUCCUACGGGAGGCAGCAGUGGGGAAUCUUGGACAAUGGGGGAAACCCUGAUCCAGCCAUGCCGCGUGAUCGAUGAAGGCCUUAGGGUUGUAAAGAUCUUUCAGCUGGGAAGAUAAUGACGGUACCAGCAGAAGAAGCCCCGGCUAACUCCGUGCCAGCAGCC
rnacentral:rRNA from 1 species